rnacentral:rRNA from 1 species
GGGCUUGACAUCCCACGAACCUGGGCUCCCGCAAGGGCAUCUGUCGAGGUGCUGCAUGGCUGUCGUCAGCUCGUGUCGUGAGAUGUUGGGUUAAGUCCCGCAACGAGCGCAACCCUUGUCUUCUGUUGCCAUCGGGUCAAGCCGGGCACUCUGAAGAGACUGCCGGUGACAAACCGGAGGAAGGUGGGGAUGACGUCAAGUCAGCAUGGCCUUUAUGUCUGGGGCCACACACGUGCUACAAUGGCCGGUACAAACCGUCGCGAGCCCGCAAGGGGGAGCUAAUCGGAGAAAGCCGGUCUCAGUUCGGAUUGCAGGCUGCAACUCGCCUGCAUGAAGUUGGAAUCGCUAGUAAUCGCGGAUCAGCACGCCGCGGUGAAUACGUUCCCGGGCCUUGUACACACCGCCCGUCACACCACGAAAGCCAGCUGUACUCGAAGUCGCUGAG